rnacentral:rRNA from 1 species
CCUACGGGCGGCAGCAGUGAGGAAUAUUGGUCAAUGGGCUUACGCCUGAACCAGCCAAGUCGCGUGAGGGAAGACUGCCCUAUGGGUUGUAAAUCUCUUUUGUCAGGGAGCAACGCCGGCUACGUGUAGCCGGACUGAGAGUACCUGAAGAAAAAGCAUCGGCUAACUCCGUGCCAGCAGCCGCGGUAAUACGGAGGAUGCGAGCGUUAUCCGGAUUUAUUGGGGUUAAAGGGUGCGUAGGCGGAAUGCCAAGUCAGCGGUAAAAUCGCGGGGCUCAACCUCGCUCCGCCGUUGAAACUGGCGUUCUUGAGUGGGCGAGAAGUAUGCGGAAUGCGUGGUGUAGCGGUGAAAUGCUUAGAUAUCACGAAGAACUCCGAUUGCGAAGGCAGCCUGCUGGACUGUAACUGACGCUGAUGCUCGAAAGUGUGGGUAUCAAACAGGAUUAGAUACCCGAGUAGUC